AUGAACGCUAGCGACAGGCUUAACACAUGCAAGUCGAGGGGCAGCACAGGUAGCAAUACCGGGUGGCGACCGGCGCACGGGUGAGUAACGCGUAUGCAACUUGCCUAUCAGAGGGGGAUAACCCGGCGAAAGUCGGACUAAUACCGCAUGAAGCAGGGAUCCCGCAUGGGAAUAUUUGCUAAAGAUUCAUCGCUGAUAGAUAGGCAUGCGUUCCAUUAGGCAGUUGGCGGGGUAACGGCCCACCAAACCGACGAUGGAUAGGGGUUCUGAGAGGAAGGUCCCCACAUUGGUACUGAGACACGGACCAAACUCCUACGGGAGGCAGCAGUGAGGAAUAUUGGUCAAUGGCCGAGAGGCUGAACCAGCCAAGUCGCGUGAGGGAUGAAGGUUCUAUGGAUCGUAAACCUCUUUUAUAAGGGAAUAAAGUGCGGGACGUGUCCCGUUUUGUAUGUACCUUAUGAAUAAGGAUCGGCUAACUCCGUGCCAGCAGCCGCGGUAAUACGGAGGAUCCGAGCGUUAUCCGGAUUUAUUGGGUUUAAAGGGUGCGUAGGCGGCCUUUUAAGUCAGCGGUGAAAGUCUGUGGCUCAACCAUAGAAUUGCCGUUGAAACUGGGGGGCUUGAGUAUGUUUGAGGCAGGCGGAAUGCGUGGUGUAGCGGUGAAAUGCAUAGAUAUCACGCAGAACCCCGAUUGCGAAGGCAGCCUGCCAAGCCAUUACUGACGCUGAUGCACGAAAGCGUGGGGAUCAAACAGGAUUAGAUACCCUGGUAGUCCACGCAGUAAACGAUGAUCACUAGCUGUUUGCGAUACAUUGUAAGCGGCACAGCGAAAGCGUUAAGUGAUCCACCUGGGGAGUACGCCGGCAACGGUGAAACUCAAAGGAAUUGACGGGGGCCCGCACAAGCGGAGGAACAUGUGGUUUAAUUCGAUGAUACGCGAGGAACCUUACCCGGGUUUGAACGCAUUCGGACCGAGGUGGAAACACCUUUUCUAGCAAUAGCCGUUUGCGAGGUGCUGCAUGGUUGUCGUCAGCUCGUGCCGUGAGGUGUCGGCUUAAGUGCCAUAACGAGCGCAACCCUUGCCACUAGUUACUAACAGGUGAUGCUGAGGACUCUGGUGGGACUGCCAGCGUAAGCUGCGAGGAAGGCGGGGAUGACGUCAAAUCAGCACGGCCCUUACAUCCGGGGCGACACACGUGUUACAAUGGCGUGGACAAAGGGAGGCCACCUGGCGACAGGGAGCGAAUCCCCAAACCACGUCUCAGUUCGGAUCGGAGUCUGCAACCCGACUCCGUGAAGCUGGAUUCGCUAGUAAUCGCGCAUCAGCCAUGGCGCGGUGAAUACGUUCCCGGGCCUUGUACACACCGCCCGUCAAGCCAUGGGAGCCGGGGGUACCUGAAGUCCGUAACCGCGAGGAUCGGCCUAGGGUAAAACUGGUGAA
rnacentral:rRNA from 1 species